AUUGAACGCUGGCGGCAGGCUUAACACAUGCAAGUCGAGCGGGGUGAUGGUGCUUGCACUAUCACUUAGCGGCGGACGGGUGAGUAAUGCUUAGGAAUCUGCCUAUUAGUGGGGGACAACAUCUCGAAAGGGAUGCUAAUACCGCAUACGUCCUACGGGAGAAAGUAGGGGAUCACUUGUGACCUUGCGCUAAUAGAUGAGCUCAAGUGGGAUUAGCUAGUUGGUGGGGUAAAGGCCUACCAAGGCGACGAUCUGUAGCGGGUCUGGGAGGAUGAUCCGCCACACUGGGACUGAGACACGGCCCAGACUCCUACGGGAGGCAGCAGUGGGGAAUAUUGGACAAUGGGGGGAACCCUGAUCCAGCCAUGCCGCGUGUGUGAAGAAGGCCUUAUGGUUGUAAAGCACUUUAAGCGAGGAGGAGGCUCUUUUGGUUAAUACCCAAGAUGAGUGGACGUUACUCGCAGAAUAAGCACCGGCUAACUCUGUGCCAGCAGCCGCCGUAA
rnacentral:rRNA from 1 species